GCCAGGCGUAGUGGCGCACGCCUGUAAUCCCAGCUACUCGGGAGGCUGAGGCAUGUGAAUUGCUUGAGCCUGGGAGGUGGAGGUUGCAGUGAGCUGAGACUGCGCCACUGCACUCCAGCCUGGGUGACAAAGCAAGACUCUGUCUCAA
rnacentral:SRP_RNA from 1 species